GUUCUCCACAAGAGCAGGAAGAGCUCUGAACUGCUGAGCUGUCACUCUGGCCCAUCCAAGCCCUGUUUGCCUCUCUUUUGAAGAGCUCAUGUUAUCUAAACUGCCUUUGACCUCCUGACCUUCCUGCCUCCAUUUGCCAUGUGCAGCAGUCUGGUUUCUGUGCAGAGGGCCAUCCUACCUUCCCCGUUAGACUCCAUUCUUGAAGCUGUGUUGACUGUGUCUCCAAAGAGGCAGUAUCGGGGCAUCUUUAGCCCUACGACACCAGCACAUACGGGACCUGGGAAGGGAAAAGAAAGGAACAAGAGUCCAGGGAAGUCAGAGGAGCCUCUGGAGGCCUUCCGUGGUCAGACCUGUGUGAAUUCCAAUGCGCAAGCGCAGCUGUUCCUGGGGCCUAUGGCGGAUGCGGAAGGAGCGUACAGCAUCUAGCAGUGCAAGUGCCAUUCGGGCUACCUCUCGGGCAUGGAGCUGUCCAUUCCGCACUGGGAGCCCUGAUACCACCAUCGCCAGGCGGAUCUGUUGAAAGGGUGGCCGCUCCUGGGGAUCCUCUGCCCAGCACCUCUGCAUCAGCUGUCCCAGUUCCUCCAGGUGGCUCUGCAGAUCCAUGGAAGGUCGGAAUGGGGGCUGCUCGCCCCGAGUCACACGCUCAAUGAUCUCUGUGUGGAAGGGGCACG
rnacentral:lncRNA from 1 species